rnacentral:rRNA from 1 species
AGGCAGCAGUAGGGAAUUUUGCGCAAUGGCCGCAAGGCUGACGCAGCAACGCCGCGUGGGUGAUGAAGGCCUUCGGGUCGUAAAGCCCUGUCAGGUGGGAAGAAAGGCCUUAAGGAGAAACGCUUGAGGUUUGACGGUACCACCAGAGGAAGCACCGGCUAACUCCGUGCCAGCAGCCGCGGUAAUACGGAGGGUGCGAGCGUUAUUCGGAAUUACUGGGCGUAAAGCGCGUGUAGGCGGGGGGACAAGUCUGAUGUGAAAGCCCUGGGCUUAACCUGGGAAGUGCAUUGGAAACUGUUUUUCUUGAGUACUGGAGAGGAAGGGGGAAUUCCCGGUGUAGAGGUGAAAUUCGUAGAGAUCGGGAGGAAUACCAGUGGCGUAGGCGCCCUUCUGGACGGUAACUGACGCUGAGACGCGAAAGCGUGGGGAGCAAACAGGAUUAGAUACCCCGGUAG